GGCGCUGUGGGCUCAAGUGGUAGAGUACUUGCCUUGCAUGCAUGAAGCCCUGGGUUCAAUUCCUUAGCACCA
rnacentral:tRNA from 1 species